UCCUGGUUGGAGGACUGGCAACACCAGCGUCACCCUCCAGCCCCGCCCCUUGCUUGCUAUUGGUCGUGGGACGUCAUCAAACCGGAGGACAGUUGCUGGAGCAUACGCACAGGUGUUUGUGCUGCGAGUGAUGGAUGGAGAGAAAUGUUCAUCUAACACAUCCACGAGCGAACAUUCAACAAUUUGAGAAGUGGAUAGAAUAUGACAGACAGAGCAGCCAGUCGAGAAGUUUGCAAAAUCAGUCAGUACCUCCUUGACCGUGUUGAACUACUGCAGUCUGUGUGGUGAAGCUACUCCUAGAUUGUUGUUUGGAUGUGUCGCCUGUUCCUUCCUUCCUUGCCACAGCUUUGCCUCAUCAGCUGGAUUGACGAGUUGCGAUUAUUCUGAACUUUUGCUCAUGACUCUCCACCUACAAAGAUGGUGGUUACACAUGUGCCCUGCUGCUCAUUACUCCAUUAAAGAUUGGCACCUUUUACCCAGGCAUUCGCUAGAUUCAUAGCUGUUUCCAGUGCCAUACUCUUACUGUGUGUGGAUCCGAAGAACGAUUAUCCCACAGUCUAUAGGUGUGAGGCUGGAAAAGCACAACCGAUCAGGCAGCAGCCAAGGAACACUAAGUCAACCCAUCAUUAGGGUUAGGGCCAUUGCCAUUAGUCUUUCCACACAUGUUCCAUGUCCCCUUUAGCACUGCACCUGUCCACUGCUUUCCUAUUAUGUAGAUAGAUGUUCCAAGACCAUGGUGACCGAUGUGUAACUCAUUUCCAUUGAAGGCUUGAAUUGAUUCAUAUUAAUUUGCUUUUACAUAACUAUAACCUGAGAGUGACAGUAUCAGUUUGAAAAAAGACACAUCUUUAUCAACAUUAACUGUUGUCUCACUUGUUCCCCAUGAAUGUGAAUGGCACACCAUGUGUGUCAGCAUCAACUGUGUCUUGGCAGAUUGCUAGACAUACAUGAACAAAUCUUCUGUGUGUUAUAUUUGAUUUUUUACAACAUGUCUCUAUUUAAUUCAAAUAGCAUGAGGCUGAUCGUCCACCAGGAUGAUUUAUUUGAACAAUAUUAAUAAAUCAAUGUUCCUUGUUUUGAA